UACGUAGGGGCGAGCGUUGUCCGGAAUUACUGGGCGUAAAGCGCAUGUAGGCGGCCUGUUAAGUCAGGUGUGAAAACUCGACGGCUCAACCGUGAGAUUGCACAUGAAACUGGCAGGCUUGAGGGCAGGAGAGGAGAGCGGAAUUCCUAGUGUAGCGGUGAAAUGCGUAGAUAUUAGGAGGAACACCAGUUGCGAAGGCGGCUCUCUGGACUGUAACUGACACUGAGGCACGAAAGCGUGGGGAGCAAACAGGAUUAGA
rnacentral:rRNA from 1 species